ACUAUCCCAGAGACCGAAAUUCUUGAGACCAAAUGGAAAGAUCUAUCAGGCAAUUAACGUGGAUACCUUGAGAGCUCAAAAUAUUGAAACAUGGCCGUUCUACAACCAGGCCACUGCCAAUUUGGUGCCUCUUAACUCAACAAGGGUAGCUGUCAAGUUUGAUUUCUUCAAGAUAGCGAAUCUGAUACCUAUUAAAUCACCUGGGAGUGGUCGUGGUCAAUUGGAAAUUACUUAUUUGGAUGAAGAUUUACGAAUAUCAAGAGGUAAUAGAGGUAAUUUGUUCAUCUUGAAAAUGGUGGAUCCAUCCUAUAGAGUUCCUCUUUGACGUGGAUUCUCCAGUGAUCGAUUGUGGUGUCUCUAAUUUUCAAUUUUCCCUUUUUCUCUAGAAGGAAAAUUAUAUUUUUAUUAUGGGAUGUAUUUGGGAAGAUGGAUUUGAAAGAUACUCUAAGAUUUAUAUUCUUCAUAAAUAAAAAGGUUAAAAGAAAAAAUAGAUAUCACAUGCGUUUUUAUAAGAAAGUGACAGCUUAAUACUGCAGUCACAAAUCUCCAGUCUAAUACAAGUGCAGUGUGUUAACAUUCAAUACAAGAUGGGAUCACAAUUUCAU